UAGCAAAACCAAAAGUAAGGUAUCCUUUG
rnacentral:piRNA from 2 species